rnacentral:rRNA from 1 species
UACGUAGGCAGCGAGCGUUGUUCGGAGUUACUGGGCGUAAAGCGUGCGUAGGCGGUUUUCUAAGUCUGGUGUGAAAUCUCCCGGCUCAACUGGGAGGGUGCGCCGGAUACUGGGGAGCUGGAGUACCGGAGAGGUAGGCGGAAUUCCUGGUGUAGCGGUGAAAUGCGUAGAUAUCAGGAGGAACACCUGUGGUGUAGACGGCCUGCUGGACGGUAACUGACGCUGAGGCACGAAAGCGUGGGGAGCAAACAGG